AACUAAAGGAAAAGGAAAAGAGAACACAAGAAGAAGAAAAUAAUGUAAUGAAUUGUUUUCUAUUGUGUCUUUUGUGCUUCUUCUUCAUUCCCGUUACAAUGAAUGAGAGAAACGAAUGAAGCGUGAACGGAAUGAAGAAAGAAGCACAUUCAUUUCAUUUGUCUUUCUUGUGUUGUUCUUUUUAAUUUUAAAGGAACAAAAAGAAAUGGAAAGAAAUGAAGUGCGUGUUUUGUUCCUUUUAAUUUAA
rnacentral:ribozyme from 1 species